UAAGGUGGCAUGAGGCUAUACUGUUCUGUUAAUGUGAGUUGUCAGGACUAGAGUUAGUGCAGUACUACUGCUAAUUCUACCGAUCGAGGGCUAGCUCACCAGCAUAGCACUCUGCUCUCUGUUUGCCUUCACGAAAGAAUUAUAUACUACUCCCUCCGUCCCCAAAUAUAAGGCGUUCCGGAGUUUUUAGAACAGAUUAUGACUAUGUAGAAAAGACUCUCCUACCCCUAAUUAUUAAGCAUUGGGACUCUAUUUGGGUAACUAAAUAUUCUCAUACACCUCCUCUACAUGUACCUCCCUCUAUAUAGCUACAUGCAGAUUUUUCUGUUGGAAAAUACCUAGAAAUGAUACACAAUUAAGAUGAUUGGGUUCACUCUCAACCCAGAAUCCCUUACAUUUGAGUACAAAUUUAAACUCUAAAAUAUCAUACAUUUUAGGACAGAGGGAGGAGUGCAUAAUUAUGCCUGCACGAUCUUGUUGUUACUUCAACAUCCAAAUUAGAAGGAAAAUAUGUCCGUUACGUGUACCGUUCGUGAUCAUCGAUCCAUUCUUAAAAUGUUGUAAGAUCGUGAAUUAAUUAUUGUGCUCCAUGAAAGGUUAGUGCAGGUCCUGAUGCGUUGGAACUGUUGCGAAAUCUGGAGCCCACCUAGAUCCACGAACGCAGGAGCCUGUGGCCGUGCCGCCGCUUCAAGCCGUCGGCGCGAUUGUUCUGUCGCCGCCCUUGCCGCGGCAAGGCCCAUCCCGAGCAAAGUCGCAAGGGACAAGGGACCGUCAAAAGUAUCUGCUUCAGUUAUACCGGAUAUUGUUGAAGUUGAAAUCAUGAUGAGCAGUGUCAUUACUCCCGAAGAUGAAGGCCAUUGGCUGUGGAGAAAUGAUAUCUUAGGAAAUGUACAUUGGAUCCAGCUUUUCGGUCCCAGUUCUAACUCAGCGCACCAAAACUAUGGUGCAUGCACCUCUGCGGCGGUGGCGCCCUAGCCGGUGGCAUCCAAGUACUACGUAGCUGAGGACGAAGAAGGCCCGGUAGAGAAGAAGGCCAGGGGCAUUGCCGGUCAAUUUGCAGCUGAGGUCCAUGCUGGUCAUCAGUCGUGUCGUACCACGUAGAUGAAAUUGCAACAGGUGGCAUGCAACAGGCGUGGACGGCAGCAGCGCACGAGGUGGCGAGGACGAUGCACUGGAGGAAGAUCCUACCCAAACACCAUGACUCAUGCACGCAGGCAACGUCUGAUCCAAUUUGCAUCAGCAUCAAGCACGAUUGCUCCCUGUCCGCUGGUGCCGUGGAGGACUGCAGGUUGGCCUAGUGGAGGUGAGGAUGCCGGCGCUGCUAACAGAUGAUCAGGCCUGGCCCGGGGGGGGGGGGGGGGGAGGG